UGGCCGCUGCGUGGCGCUUUGUUACCGGAUUGCGGGCCACGUUAAACAUUCCGCUAAAGAGGUCAGCCGAAAGCCCCU
rnacentral:ncRNA from 2 species